rnacentral:rRNA from 1 species
CCUGGCAGUGUAGCGCGGUGGUCCCACCUGACCCCAUGCCGAACUCAGAAGUGAAACGCCGUAGCGCCGAUGGUAGUGUGGGGUCUCCCCAUGCGAGAGUAGGGAACUGCCAGGC